AUUGAACGCUGGCGGCAGGCCUAACACAUGCAAGUCGAACGGUAACAGGAAACAGCUUGCUGUUUCGCUGACGAGUGGCGGACGGAUGAGUAAUGUCUGGGAAACUGCCUGAUGGAGGGGGAUAACUACUGGAAACGGUAGCUAAUACCGCAUAACGUCGCAAGACCAAAGAGGGGGACCUUCGGGCCUCUUGCCAUCGGAUGUGCCCAGAUGGGAUUAGCUAGUAGGUGGGGUAACGGCUCACCUAGGCGACGAUCCCUAGCUGGUCUGAGAGGAUGACCAGCCACACUGGAACUGAGACACGGUCCAGACUCCUACGGGAGGCAGCAGUGGGGAAUAUUGUACAAUGGGCGCAAGCCUGAUGCAGCCAUGCCGCGUGUAUGAAGAAGGCCUUCGGGUUGUAAAGUACUUUCAGCGGGGAUGAAGGGAGUAAAGUUAAUACCUUUGCUCAUUGACGUUACCCGCAGAAGAAGCACCGGCUAACUCCGUG
rnacentral:rRNA from 1 species